ACUUGUUACUCAAAAUGUUAUGCUUGCUUGUGAUUUUGAUAUGAUGUUUACUUUCGUGUAUGCUGGAUGGGAAGGAACAGAAAAUGAUUCAAGGGUAUUCAUUGAUGCUUUGAGUAGGAGUUCAAAAACUUUCCUAAGCCACGUGGAGAUCAAUUUUAUUUAGUUGACUCGGGGUACCCAAACACACUAGGAUAUCUUGCCCCAUAUAGAGGUCAAAGAUAUCAUUUACGUGACUACCACGGACAAGGACGACCACGUGGUAAGGAGGAAUUAUUCAAUUACAGACACUCUUCAUGCCGCAACAUCAUAGAACGUUGCAUUGGAGUACUAAAGGCGAGAUUUUCUAUUCUGAAGUUAAUGCCAAACUACCCUAUCAGGACACAAAGAAAAAUUCCAGCUGCAUGUUGUGCACUUCACAAUUUCAUACGUCGAGAGCAUGCUUUGGAUAGGUUGUUUACUCAAUACUCAUCGGAGGUGAUGCUAGUUGAGCAAGACGAAGCAGAGUCGAGCCAUAGUACAGCAGUUAUAGACUUUGAUGUCACCCAAAAUGCUCAAAUGGGACUCGCUAGAGAUCAAAUCGCAACACAAAUGUGGGCUCAUUUUUCGAGCAAUGCUUGUUAAUUUGAAUUUUAGUGUAUUGUAAUGUAGUAAGAGUGAAGCAAACCUCAAGUGGAUUGGAUUUGGUCUAAA